rnacentral:rRNA from 1 species
ACGUAGGUGGCAAGCGUUAUCCGGAUUUACUGGGUGUAAAGGGCGAGUAGGCGGGACUGCAAGUCAGAUGUGAAAACUAUGGGCUCAACCCAUAGACUGCAUUUGAAACUGUAGUUCUUGAGUGAUGGAGAGGCAGGCGGAAUUCCCGGUGUAGCGGUGGAAUGCGUAGAUAUCGGGAGGAACACCAGUGGCGAAGGCGGCCUGCUGGACAUUAACUGACGCUGAGGCGCGAAAGCGUGGGGAGCAAACAG